GCCCCAAAGGUGCUGACAACUGUCAGCCUGUCUUGUGAGGGCCAGGAGCCAGCAGUGCCGAGCAAGGAGUACAAGUCAAUGAUGGUGAUGACACUGACAACAAGGAGCAUGUCCUCCUAGAGUGACCUCAAGCUGGUACUGGCCACAGAGAUCACUUUGUCGCAAUCCACUUUGGACCGCUGCUGAAGGCUGGCUGACAGCUGGACUGUCCCGCCACUGUGUGCAGGCCAGUGGGACAGGCGGCCUGCUGGGGAGCACAUGUGUCCCCUCCUGCCCUGCAGACACAGACACACCCGCUGGACCUCAGCACCCAGGAGGGAGGACACAGCCGCUGCCUCCCCCGCCAAGCGCCGCACGGCCACGCUCAGCGCCUGGAAGAAGAAGCAACAGUGACGCCCAGAUGAAGGCCGUUCCCACUCCCUCGGCAAGCCUGAGUGUCUCUGAGCAGAGGAACUAAAAACGUCUUGAUAAUUCUCUGGAACAAGUUAUUUCUGUAGAGCAUUCUGUCCCUCAGGUGUACGCUGGACUCCAAUAAACAUCCUGUUGGGGAAA